UACGUAGGGGGCUAGCGUUGUCCGGAUUUAUUGGGCGUAAAGAGCGCGCAGGCGGCUGGUCAAGUCCGAUGUGAAAGCUCCCGGCUUAACUGGGAAAUUGCAUCGGAAACUGAUCGGCUGGAAGGUGGGAGAGGGUAGCGGAAUUCCCGGUGUAGCGGUGAAAUGCGCAGAUAUCGGGAGGAACACCGGUGGCGAAGGCGGUUCUCUGGGCCUUACCUGACGCUGAGGCAGCGAAAGCGUGGGGAGCGAACAGG
rnacentral:rRNA from 1 species